CCUACGGGCGGCAGCAGUAGGGAAUUUUCCACAAUGGGCGAAAGCCUGAUGGAGCAACGCCGCGUGGGUGAAGAAGGUUUUCGGAUCGUAAAACCCUGUUGUUAGAGAAGAAAGUGCGUGAGAGUAACUGUUCACGUUUCGAAGGUAUCUAACAAGAAAGCCACGGCUAACUACGUGCCAGCAGCGGCGGUAAAACGCAGGGGGCAAGAGUUAUCCGGAGUUAGUGGGCGUAAAGGGAACGCAGGCGGGCUUUUAAGCCUUAUGUGAAAGCCUUCGGCUUAACCGGAGUAGUGCAUUGGAAACUGUGAGACUUGAGUGCGGAAGAGGAAAGUGGAACUCCAUGUGUAGCGGUGAAAUGCGUAGAUAUAUAGAGGAACACCAGUGGCGAACGCGACUCUCUAG
rnacentral:rRNA from 1 species